AGAGAGAUAGAAGCACCCCCAACCAAUAUUCAUUUUUCGUCUUCGACACUUCGUCAAAAUAUAGGAGAAGAAUCCCUCCUGUCUCACUCUCGUCUUCUCUUCAUUCUCUUCUCUCCCAGAAAUCUCAACUAUAUCCUUCAACAUCGCGCUUUGGGAAUUUCUCUCUCUCCAGAGUCCAGUCCUCAUUGUCCCUAAUUUCACUUCUCUCUCUGCAAAUCAACCCUAAAUCUUCCAUCUCUAAACCCUCAAUGGAUCCGACACCUUCUUCUACCAAAUCCAAUCACAGCCACCAAAACCCCAUAACCCAGCCAUCAACUCCAGUUCUUAAAAGCCUACCCGUCACCAAACCCCAAGUCAACCCUAAAAGAAUCUCCGUCGGAGCAUCCGGACGAAUUCUUCGCUCGAAUCCAAGACUAGAAGCUAAAGAAGAAGGCCUCCACGUUCCUCUUGGCCCCAAUUGAUGCCUCUAGAGAGAGCCUCCUCACGGCUCAUCAAUUACUCAUGGAUGGUACGAAUCAGUGUUGUUAUCAGGUAUUGCGCUGUGGAAGACCGGAGUUCAUUCGUUGCUUUUCAAUCCAAUACCAGUGUUGUUAUCAGCUUGGUCUGAGAUGCAGAACAUGACGUUGCCAGGUUAAAGGCUGCAUGCAGAUAAUCAUAGUGUGCAUGUCUUGACACGGUCUAGAUCAAAGGCUGAGUUAAUUGUUCCGGGUAAGAAGUCGGGAACUUUCCAGGAAUCGUAAUUGCAGAGGAGCCAGAGUGGAAAGAUAGCAUUCGAGGUUCAAUUGGUGUUGUAAAUUUGGCUGGAAUGCCCAUUAGUACAAGAUGGACUUCUGUGGUUUACUACCUUUACCUUUCUUUUGGUUAUCCUACCUGUCUUUUUACAGUAAGUAGUGACAAUAUGAAAAGAAGUUCUCGAUAACUCUUGUUUUGUUACUUUAUAGUAAGCAUACAGCAAGUACUCAUUACAGAUAUAGAGAUGGUAAAAGAAAUUAGCCUGCGUACAUCUUUGAGCUUGGGGAUUUCCUUUUAUCUAUCUAAGGACCGCUAGCCACUAUUCGACCAAGGCAUUCUAGCUUCAAAUGGUAUGGUAGGCCUCAUGUGAGCUGUACCCGUCCCAAGCCUCCCAGAAAGGUCCCCAAGUCACCUCAUAAGGUUGGAAGUAGUUCUUUUGUUCAUAGUGUACCUUGCUUAUGGAUAUGAUGAUGGCAGUGCUCUAUCAUACAUUCUUCUUACAAUGACCAGUUGGUUCAUGGCACUUUCUUGGCUUUUUUCUCCCUAUUUGUUCAACCCAUGCCCAUCUGGGUUUGAGUGGCAGAAGUAAGUGUCUCAAGAGGAUUCCUAUCAUUUUAAGGGUUUCAAAAGAAUCCCAUUUUGGGCAGUUUGGUAAUCAAAUCUGGGAGUUAACACUGAGUACUAAUGGAAUUGAUAUAUUUGUCUUAAGCUGAAAGAUUGGUGGGCAUUUGGGUGGAGUUUGCUUAGUCUACGUUACGUGAAAUUAAAAGAACUUUUUGUUUCUGGGGAGCGCAAAUGUUUCCAAAGAUUGAUUGGAAUACUAUUGCAGUUGAGAUUAUUGAUUUGUUGGAUAUUUGAAAACAGAGAGAUGAAGUCAUUUGUAAUACCCCGAAAAAUCCAAAUUAAAUUCCAUGGAUUUUUAGAAA